UGGGGAAUAUUGCACAAUGGGCGCAAGCCUGAUGCAGCCAUGCCGCGUGUAUGAAGAAGGCCUUCGGGUUGUAAAGUACUUUCAGCGGGGAGGAAGGCGAUAAGGUUAAUAACCUUGUCGAUUGACGUUACCCGCAGAAGAAGCACCGGCUAACUCCGUGCCAGCAGCCGCGGUAAUACGGAGGGUGCAAGCGUUAAUCGGAAUUACUGGGCGUAAAGCGCACGCAGGCGGUCUGUCAAGUCGGAUGUGAAAUCCCCGGGCUCAACCUGGGAACUGCAUUCGAAACUGGCAGGCUAGAGUCUUGUAGAGGGGGGUAGAAUUCCAGGUGUAGCGGUGAAAUGCGUAGAGAUCUGGAGGAAUACCAGUGGCGAAGGCGGCCCCCUGGACAAAGACUGACGCUCAGGUGCGAAAGCGUGGGGAGCAAACA
rnacentral:rRNA from 1 species